GAUGAACGCUGGCGGCAUGCCUAAGACAUGCAAGCCGAACGAGAUGGCCCUUUGAAGCGGAGUGCUUGCACAAAGUGGAAAAGGAUUACCAUCUAGUGGCAGACGGGUGAGUAACACGUGGGUAACCUACCUUAUAGUUGGGGAUAACAGUUGGAAACGACUGCUAAUACCGAAUGAGAUGCAAUUGUUAAGAUUGUAUUGAAAGGAGCCUUUAAAGCUUCGCUACAAGAUGGGCCUGCGGCGUAUUAACUAGUUGGUGGGGUAAUGGCCUACCAAGGUAACGAUGCGUAGCCGAACUGAGAGGUUGAACGGCCACACUGGGACUGAGACACGGCCCAGACUCCUACGGGAGACAGCAGUUAGGA
rnacentral:rRNA from 1 species